rnacentral:rRNA from 1 species
ACGACGCUGGCGGCGUGCCUAAUACAUGCAAGUCGAGCGGACUUGAUGGAGAGCUUGCUCUCCUGAGAGUUAGCGGCGGACGGGUGAGUAACACGUAGGCAACCUGCCCUCUGGACUGGGAUAACUACCGGAAACGGUAGCUAAUACCAGAUAAUUCACUUCUUCGCAUGGAGAAGUGAGGAAAGACGGAGCAAUCUGUCACCGGAGGAUGGGCCUGCGGCGCAUUAGCUAGUUGGAGAGGUAACGGCUCCCCAAGGCGACGAUGCGUAGCCGACCUGAGAGGGUGAUCGGCCACACUGGGACUGAGACACGGCCCAGACUCCUACGGGAGGCAGCAGUAGGGAAUCUUCCGCAAUGGGCGAAAGCCUGACGGAGCAACGCCGCGUGAAGUGAUGAAGGUUUUCGGAUCGUAAAGCUCUGUUGCCAAGGAAGAACGUCCUUAAGAGUAACUGCUUAAGGAGUGACGGUACUUGAGAAGAAAGCCCCGGCUAACUACGUGCCAGCAGCCGC